rnacentral:misc_RNA from 1 species
GUUGCGGUGAAGGACCAGGGGAGACGACCAGUCAGUCAGUUAGAAAAUACUACACAAGGACGUGAAUACAAAGAUGGUGGGGGAAAGGUGUUUUGUCAUGGUUCUUCAAGUGCUCUGUGCAGUGUAUGGGGCUCACGGUACCACCAGAAAUGAGAGUGAUGCGCCUGUGUCAGGAACUCGUAGUCAUGGCCUCGAACGUCAAGCAAAUCAUGACUCAGACCUAGAGACUAUGACCGAAGACUUUCCACUAGGCUUACCAUGGGACGUAACGGUAAAUGGAACUACCCGGAAUGUAAACAAAGCCCUUCCAUCUUCUCACAAGAAAGAUGAUUCAGCAACAACCACUGAUCGCCGUAUUGCAAUAGAGUUUUCCCAUGAACAAAUACGAGUACAGGAGUAUGACCACAACCACAGUGAGCCUCCAGCCACUACACACGCAUUCACGAUACAAGCUGCCACCCUUCUGCCCACCAUCACCGUAACAGGAGCCAACAGUAGACUAACUGAAUUGACGUCCAUGAUACAAUCGACCACUAAACAAGCGACCAUGUUACUGUCACCGACGAUCACGGCAGCAAUGACUAAGGCAGCGACGACUCCAGAAACGACGAGCAUGGAACCGUCGAUCACCAAUACCACGACCAUGGCAGCGAAUAUCCCAGAAACAGCGACCAUGGAACCAACGAUCACGAACACCACGACCACAACAUCGACGACCCCAGAAACAACGACCAUGGAACAGACGAUCACGAACACCACAACCACGACCAAGACAUCAACGACCCCUGAAAUAACGAUCGUGGAACCAACGAUCACGAACACCACGGCAUGGACGACCCCAGAAACAACGACAAUGGAACCGACGAUCGCGAACACCACGACCAUAACAUCAACGGUCCCAGAAACAACGACAAUGGAACCGACGAUCACGAACACUACGACUACGACCACAACAUCAACGAUCCCAGAAACAACGACAAUGGAACCGACGAUCACGAACACUACGACUACGACCACAACAUCGACGACCCCUGAAACGACGACAAUGGAACCGACGAUCACGAACACUACGACUACGACCACGACAUCGACGACCCCAGAAACGACCAUGGAACCAAAGAUCAUGAACACCACGACCAAGACAUCAACGACCAUGGAACCGACGAUCACGAACACCACGACUACGACAUCGACGACCCCAGACACAACUACAAUAGAACCGACGAUCACGAACACCACAACCACGACCAAGACAUCAACGACCAUGGAACCGACGAUCACGAACACCACGACCACAACAUCGACAACCCCUGAAACAACGACCAUUGAACCGAUGAUCACGAAUACCACGACAAUGAAAACGACCUCGGAAAUGACAACCACAUCACUGAAGACAGAAACGACUAUGGAACGGACGACCACUGAACGAACAACCACAUCACCGGCGACUAUCACAUCAAGGCCUAAGUUAGCAAAGAUCCAAGUGGUAUCGUCUCCCCCCACCACCACAUCAGCAUCAUAUGGUAUUGCUUUCGACGGAGAGCAAACUAUCCAUCCCCAGCCACUACCUAGACGCUGCCCAGUCACAUCAACAGAGAACACCCCACAGAGAAGGAAAAAGAGCGCUCCUUACUUAGCAGACGUCGAGGAGGACAUUACUGAACAUGAUAACAAGGCUUCAUCCGCAUCGCCAGCUCCUUAUGACGAGCUAAGGGGAGGCAGACACGUGGAAGAUGCUACUCUUUUCCCUGAGGGCGUAGAGGAUCCCACAACAGAGGAAGACGAGACAGAGGAAGAGCUUGUGAAGUCGACUAUUCAGAAACUAAAGGCACUGAUUGAAGGAAAGCACAGAAACGAAACCACAAAGAAGCGUAAGGAGAAUGAUGCACAUUUGAGCAGCCACUUUCGUUUUAUGACCCUCACUUAUUUAGACAAGAUACGAAAGAUUGGGAAAGAGAAGAGAAUUACAGAACCACCCACCGCCAGUACGACAGCUUCACCAAAGACAGAAAUCAUCCGAGGGGCUCGACCAACGGAGGGUAUGGGCAGCAGAGAGGACAUAGAAUCUUCUGAUGAAGAGAGCCUUUCGGAGAAUGCAAGCCGCUCUGACAAUGAAACGCACUUCUCUACCCUCGAAGAAGUGAAGGCGGAAGGCAGCCAUGAGUCAGCGCUCACAAAUUCCACGACGCAAGCCACAAGACCACCUGAGAUGCACAAACUUCCCACAACCUCCGAGCUGAAGCAAAAGACUAACCAGAAUCAGACUAGCGAGGAACCUUCUGACAGGACUUGUACUUGGAUACACGCAGGUACCUCGAAGGAGUGAGGGCGAGGACACGCAACCGUUUGCCAGCCACAAGACCUCCCGAGAUGGACGAAUUUCCCACAACGCCGGAGCUGAAACCAGAAAUUGACCAAAAUCAGACUAGCGAGGAACCUUCUGACAGGGAUUUGUACUUGGAUACACGCAGAUACCUCGAAGGAGUGAGGGAGAGGACACGGAACCGUUUGUUAGGAAUCAACAAAAAUCUUGCACCAGAAAACACCACCACUACCACCAACAAUACAACAGCAACAACAGCGUCAGCAGGAACCAGCAUCGGCGCGUCUGACUCGACCAUUGACUUGACUUUUGCUACAUACCCAAUAAUGCCCGCCAUGUUUCACCCCUCAACCUCCUUUAGCUGGGAUUCACUAGAGUUUACUACAAAUAUCUCCGAUUCUACAACAAACCCUAUAAUUUCUAAUGCAUCUUUAGCAGCAGCAGCAUUCACUAACACCACAUCACCGUCGUUAGCUAUAUCCUCAACUAACAUUACGACAUCACCACUACAAUCGUUAGAGACAACAGAAUUUACUAACUCAACAACGUCAACCUCUGAAACAUUCGCUGGUUAUUCAAUGCAUGCCGUGUAUCCAGUGCUGCUAUCCUUAGAUACCUCAGACACAACGGCAAACACGACUACAAAAACGCAACCAUUUUUAACUGAGGAAACCAUCAACACCACGAUAUCAGAAGCAUCAAUCGUCAGUGAAUCAAAUAACACGACCACGACUUCACCGCCAUCAUCUCCUCCUCCUCCAUUAGAAAUCAUUACUACCGUACCACUGACAUCAACUUCAGAGGAGCCUUCAUUAGCAAGCAAGAUCACGACAUCACUGGCAUCAUCCUCUCCUCCACCAGAAGUUAUUACCACCGUAUCCUUACCAUCGACACCGGAAAAGCCUUCACUGCCAAUGAACACCACUACUUCAGGCAUUAGCACAAUCACACUUCCAUCGCCAUCUCCACCAGAAACUAGGUCAACACAGACACCAAUGACUAAUGACACUACACCAACAGAGACUUACACUUCCAAUACCACCACCUCCACCACCAAUAGUUCUAUUAAACAUACAUCCAUAUCAUCCACCAACACCACCACCAAUUUCACUACACCAAGAUCAAAAGCCACCACUGCCGUACCAGAAUAUACCAUCAUCACCACCACGCCGUCACAAACAGUAGCAGGAGUGAACGCCACCGUCAUUACGGCUGACGCAAGUAUCAAGGAAGCGGCCAGCAUCAUCCACAGGGACAUGUCGAAAUCAACAGUGAUAUUGCUGGGGAUAUCCUUGAUCGGAGUGGUGGUUUUGAUGACAGGAGGAAUUAUAUUGUACCGGAAGCGGCGUCAACUGCAGAGAUGGGCACCACUUCAAGGGCGGUACACACCCCGCAACUGGCACCAAGAUGUCUGAGCGCGUGGACCGGAAGCCAGGAUAUGAUAACGGAGUGGGGAUUUGUCAUGAUGCUGCAGGUGAAGAAAAAAUAUUUAUAACUUGUACAGAUGUGUUGUUUGUUCGUGUUAUUCAUUUUUUAUUAUGUGUUUGCAUUCUAAGCUAAAUAAAUGUUAAUUUGAUAUAA